rnacentral:misc_RNA from 1 species
AAAGAUCGCAGCCUUCGGCAGCUCCUACAGGAGUACACAUUCCAUUGUAGGAGCUGCCGAAGGCUGCGAUCUUU